UACGUAGGUGGCAAGCGUUGUCCGGAUUUAUUGGGUUUAAAGGGUGCGUAGGCGGUUCUAUAAGUCAGUGCUGAAAUAUCCCGGCUUAACCGGGAGGGUGGCAUUGAUACUGUAGGACUUGAGUAAAGUUGAGGUAGGCGGAAUUGACGGUGUAGCGGUGAAAUGCUUAGAUAUCGUCAAGAACACCGAUAGUGAAGACAGCUUACUAAACUUUAACUGACGCUGAGGCACGAAAGUGUGGGGAUCAAACAGG
rnacentral:rRNA from 1 species